UUCUCAAGAUGUCCAGAUAAUGUUUUUCCCUUGUGGCCACUAUUAUAAUCCCUCUGUUCUAUUUGUCAUGUCCUGGAAUUUUUUUUUAUUUUUUAUUUUUUAUACAGAUUAUGACAAGAUUUUUUUGAGAAACUUUGCUGGAAUAGUAUGGGCUCAAAUUGUGGUCAUAAAUAUUUUGUACUUGUAAAUCAAAUGUGUAUUUGUGUACUGAGCUUUGUAACCUUGUAAACCAAAAUAUAUUAAAAUGUUAUCUUUGUGCAUCUAUAGAUGAGAAUUUGUGUGUAAAAAGGAUUUGUGUUUGUAAAAAAUAUUUACACGAGUUAUAAGUUUUUUUGUUAAGGUCUGGUUACAGAUAUAAAGCAAAAAACUAAGUGCAAAACUCUGCACUCAGGUUCCCUGGCUGGGUGUGGAUUUCAACUUACAUGUACAAAUUUUGACCCUGUCAGCUGCUUGGUCAAUGUCAUGUCAAUCACAAAUUUAACAAUCCAAUCAGAGAACAGAUGGGUUUGGCUGUUGGAGGGGUGCUUUACGGAGCUUCAGGUCCUGGAGGAAUAAAUGCCCAGCAUUUCCUUCAUCACCACGCGGUGUUGCCAACUUAGCGAUCUUAUCGCUAUAUUUAGCGAGUUUUCAGACCCCCUUAGCGAGUUUUGUAAUGAGUAGUGCGUGCAAAACAACAAGUCCAAGUACAGAUUCCAAGCACUGUAGCUCCCGUGGCGAUUCCUCCGCGAAUCCCACACAGUGCAAGUGUCUGUGGAAGUGAAUGGUGACGACUCCAAAAAACCCCCAGACCCAUCCGUGACUUCUCUCUGUGACUGACUCGCCACUCCCAACUCCUGGUGACACAUAACACACACAGCUCAGCAUGAAAUCCACAGCAGCGAGGUCUUCACUAAUUCACACAGAAGUCUGUACUUAACGGUUUUUACACUAGGAUCCAGCGCUGACCAGAGCUCAGCCACACUCUUAAAUAUGGCUCCCCUGAUGAGCCUGAUCUGCUGCAGCUGCCCGCAGAUAACGAGCAGCAGGUGAGGCAUCCUCCAGCGCAGGAAGACUUCUGGGUCGCGAUUCCUCAGGUGACCCAAAACACCUGGGAGCACACACUGAGAGACGGGAGCGAAAAAAGAGAGAAAACAACAAAACUCUACACACAGAAAGAAAAUAAACAGGGCUCGGCAGGGAGUGAGAGUCACAGGUGUGGAGCCUACUGCAACAGAAGGAGAGGCGGAUUAUUGUCAGGCAGAGAAUACCGGAAGCAAGACGAGUCUUUACUAGAAAUCAUGCUUACUUGGAAAGUGAGGAGUAAUGUGCUCCAAGGGAGAUGCAACCAGUGAUCUGGCUGAGCAGAAGAGCAGCCAGGUAAGAUGUCUGAGCAUUUUGUUCUUCCAGACCACUGAGGAAAAGCAUCCCACAGAGAAAUUAAAGAGCUGAGUUUUGGAUGCUUCAAAAGGAGACAAGCCUGUAGCAGAGAAGGUGAGAGUUAUUGUUAGGUUUAUAUUGUUGGAUUGUCAUUUAUGCUUAGAAAUAUAUACUCAUAUAUGCUUAGAAGUAUAUAAUCGUUUGUAGAUUGAAGGAAUGUCUUAUCCUAGGAGGUCUGCAACAACCCUGUCUACCGUGAAAAGGGGAGUACGUUCUCUCCUCUUCCAGAGUGUUCUGGCAUAAGUCACACACCUCCUAGGGCAGGGGUCGGCAA